GCCAGAGUUGUUUAGUGGUUUGAGUGUUGGAUUAAGACUUCAAGUGACCAGGGUUCAAAUCCCUGCUCUACCA